rnacentral:rRNA from 1 species
AGUAACGCGUGGGUAACCUACCCUGUACACACGGAUAACAUACCGAAAGGUAUGCUAAUACGGGAUAAUAUAUUUGAGAGGCAUCUCUUAAAUAUCAAAGGUGAGCUAGUACAGGAUGGACCCGCGUCUGAUUAGCUAGUUGGUAAGGUAACGGCUUACCAAGGCGACGAUCAGUAGCCGACCUGAGAGGGUGAUCGGCCACAUUGGAACUGA